GAUGAACGCUGGCGGCGUGCCUAAUACAUGCAAGUCGAGCGAACGGACGAGAAGCUUGCUUUUCUGAUGUUAGCGGCGGACGGGUGAGUAACACGUGGAUAACCUACCUAUAAGUCUGGGAUAACUUCGGGAAACCGGAGCUAAUACCGGAUAAUAUUUUGAACCGCAUGGUUCAAAAGUGAAAGACGGUCUUGCUGUCACUUAUAGAUGGAUCCGCGCUGCAUUAGCUAGUUGGUAAGGUAACGGCUUACCAAGGCAACGAUGCAUAGCCGACCUGAGAGGGGGAUCGGCCACACUGGAACUGAGACACGGUCCCGACUCCUACGGGAGGCAGCAGUAGGGAAUCUUCCGCAAUGGGCGAAAGCCUGACGGAGCAACGCCGCGUGAGUGAUGAAGGUCUUCGGAUCGUAAAACUCUGUUAUUAGGGAAGAACAUAUGUGUAAGUAACUGUGCACAUCUUGACGGUACCUAAUCAGAAAGCCACGGCUAACUACGUG
rnacentral:rRNA from 1 species